rnacentral:rRNA from 1 species
AUGUGGCGGGCGAGGCGGUGGCCGCGGCCGCGAUGGUUCUCGUCCGACACCGCGGCAGUGGGCGCCGAUUCGGGCAAUCCGGCGCGGCGUCGGGUGGCGGCGCUGUGGGGGAACGGGGACCACGGCCGGCUGGGGCUGGGGGCGCUGGAGUCGCGGUGGAGCCCCACGGCGUGCCCCUUCUUCCUCACGCGCCCCGCCGACCCGCCUACCUCGCUCGCCUGCGGCGGCGCCCACACCCUCUUCCUCACCGAGGGUGGGCGCGUAUUUGCUACGGGGCUGAACGACUUUGGGCAGCUCGGGAUAGGCUCCUCGAUGCCUCAUACUCUGGACCCUGUUGAAGUCUCUGGAUUUCACGAGAAAGUUGUACAAAUUUCAGCUGGCAACCAUCAUUCUUGUGCAGUAACAGCCGAUGGUGAGCUCUUCGUUUGGGGCAAAAAUUCGAGUGGCCAGCUUGGCCUUGGCAAAAGUGCAGGAAAAGUAGUCUCUACCCCAAGAAAGGUUGACUACUUGGCUGAUGUUAGAGUGAAAAUGACUGCUUUGGGAUCAGAGCACUCAAUUGUUGUUACAGAGGAUGGUGAAGCCUUGAGUUGGGGAGCUGCUGGUGCUGGUAGACUUGGACAUGGCCAUAAAUCUAGCUUCCUGGGAUUCGCUAUGACCUCAAAUGAAUAUACUCCAAGGUUGAUAAAAAACCUUGAUGGUAUCAAGAUUAAAAGGAUAGCUGCGGGAAUGCUGCACUCAGCUUGCAUUGAUGAAAAAGGUACUGUGUUCAUGUUUGGGCAGAAGACUGAGAAGGUACUUGGAAGAUCAAAUGAUGCACCUAGACCAAGUGCUGUUGAAGAGAUACAAUUUUCAGAAGAAGUUGCUUGUGGAGGUUAUCAUACUUGCGCCGUAACAGAUCGUGGAGAUUUGUACUCUUGGGGUUCAAAUGAAAAUGGCUGCCUUGGUCUUGGAGGUACAGGCAUGGUUCGCUUCCCAGAAGUUGUAAGAAGUUCAUUAUUUAAGCUUCCUGUAUCUAAGGUAUCCUGUGGUUGGAAGCACACAGCUGCAAUUUCAGGUGAAGAUAUCUACACGUGGGGCUGGGGAGGUGCCAACGGUACCUUCUUCGAAGAGGGCCAUUCUUCUGGCGGGCAAUUAGGGCAUGGAAACGACGUCGACUAUUGCGAGCCGAUGAUGGUAGAACUUGGCAAGAAUGCAAGUGCUGUUCAUGUAUCAUGUGGCUUCAAUCAUACAGGCGCGAUACUCGAGUACGUGGAAAACUGA